GGGAUAGAAUUCCAGGAGUAGCGGUGAAAUGCGUAGAUAUCUGGAGGAAUACCAAAGGCGAAGGCAGUCCCCUGGUCCGAUACUGACACUGAGGUACGAAAGCGUGGGGAGCAAACAGGAUUAGAUACCCUGGUAGUCCACGCCCUAAACGAUGUCGAUUAGCCAUUGGAAGGACCCCUUUUCCUUUCAGUGACUAGCUAACGCGUUAAAUCGACCGCCUGGGAAGUACGACCGCAAGGUUAAAACUCAAAGGAAUUGACGGGGACCUGAACAAGCGGUGAAUGAUGUGGAUUAAUUCGAUGCUACGCGAAGAACCUUACCUACCUUUGACAUGGCCAAAGUUCUACCGAGAGGCGGAAGUACUCGUAAGAGGAUUGGCGCACAGGUGCUGCAUGGUUGUCGUCAGUUCGUGUCGUGAGAUGUUGGGUUCAGUCCCGCAACGAACGCAACCCUUAUCUUUAAUUGCUCCUAUUUUAACAGGCACUUUAAAGAAACUGCCAAUGAUAAGUUGGAGGAAGGUGGGGAUCACGUCAAGUCCGCAUGGCCUUUAUAGGUAGGGCUUCACACGUCAUACAAUGGUUAGAACAAAGAGCUGCAAAUUCGUAAGAAGGAGCCAAUCUCACAAACCUAACCUCAGUUCGAAUUGCGGUCUGCAACUCGAGCGCAUGAAGCCGGAAUCGCUAGUAAUCGUGGAUCAGAAUGCCACGGUGAAUACGUUCUUAGGUCUU
rnacentral:rRNA from 1 species